rnacentral:rRNA from 1 species
UAUCCCCCCCUGUGUGCCCCUUGCCCUCCCCCACCGACCUGCAGAACGCGAAGAACCUUACCCACUUUUGCCAUCCCGGUAGCGGCCUUUAGAGAUAAGGGCUUCAUUUAGUUGGACCGGUGACAGGUGCUGCAUGGCUGUCGUCAGCUCGUGUCGUGAGAUGUUGGGUUAAGUCCCGCAACGAGCGCAACCCUCGUCGUAUGUUGCCAGCAAGUAAUGUUGGGCACUCAUAUGAGACUGCCGGUGAUAAGCCGGAGGAAGGUGGGGACGACGUCAAGUCAUCAUGGCCCUUACAGGUGGGGCUAGAAACGUGCUACAAUGGCAGUGACAAUGGGCAGCUACACAGCAAUGUGAUGCUAAUCCCAAAAAGCUGUCUCAGUUCAGAUUGUCCUCUGCAACUCGAGGGCAUGAAGCUGGAAUCGCUAGUAAUCGCAAAUCAGCAUGUUGCGGUGAAUACGUUCCCGGGUCUUGUACACACCG